CAAGAUAUACCCGGGGAAUGCAUCAGAUUCGUCCAUUCAGACUCUCGAGUCUUCCUUUUUUUCAACUCAAAGUGCAAGCGCUAUUUCCACAACCAUCUUAAGCCUGGUAAGCUUAUAUGGAAUGCCAUGUACAGGAAGCAGCACAAGAACGUACAUGUAUAUUCGUGUUGAGGCUGCAAAGAAGAGGCACCGCGCCAUCAAGAGUCCUUAUGGUCUCGCUGUUCAUCGCCUCUGGACGCGCCAUUGAUGACCAUAACCACCGUCCAUGCAUAGAAUCCAUGUGUCGUGUUUCCUGUUUCUCUAAGACCUUGUAGUUC